UUUCUGAAAGCUUAUGUAACAAAGUUGAGAACUAUACUAAAUGGAAAGAAUAGGCCAAUUGAUCAGAAAAAAUUAGAUGCGAACAAGAGGUAGCAGCAGUACUGAGUUGCAACAUGUAUUGUGAUUUUUUUACUUGAAGACAAAGAAACGGUCUUACAUGCGUUAAUAGAACAAUCUCCCACAGAUAUCAAUACAAUCAAUUACUUUCUGGGUGCACCCUUUGACUCCAAUAACAUCCGUAUUACACAAUUUGGAUCACACAGAAACAUAAAACAAUAUUCAUAAAUGUUGGUUCCAGCUCAAUUAAAUUAUACCAAAGAAAACAAAUCACCACCAUUGGUGGUUUCAGAAUCAGCUUGUUACCAGUCCAAUAUGAAAGAAGAGAAUAGUUCGUCCUCAAAAUGAAGGGUCCAAAUCUUCCAGCUUUAUCCUUGUGGGUUGGCUCGCCAUCCAAUUCAACGUAUCCCAACAAAAAACCUGACCUAGAUGUGUAGCAAGGUCAGAGAAUACAAAACAAUUUAUAUUAAUUUUGUCUUCCUUCAAACAAAAUAACAUUUUAGCCAGAGCGGAACUUGUAACACAAUGCCUAUGCUAACCAACAUUAUAUCGGCAAUGAGCUAUGCGUCAAAGCCCUGUUUCCAUGAGAUAUGACAAAAAUAAAUAAAAGCUAGCGCCUACUUUGAGGCAGGCUCUUUAGCAUUUUCAGGGUGGGAAAUAAGCACCCGCCACCCGCCAAUGGCGGGUAUUUUUUCAAAUUGGCGGUUGACUUUGCCAUGUUUACCCGCCACAGUGGCGGGUGGAUUUUUUCAAAAUAUACCACAACGUGUUUACGGUUUCAAGCGCUGUGUACAGAAACAUAGAAGCUCUCCCGGGCUUUGGGGUUUGCCUCGGAGCAUUCGUUUUCGUCACACAAACGUGGCAGCCGCCCAUUGGUGUACAGGUGUAUGACGUAACCAACCAAACCUUUGAUUGGUCUAAGACUCUCCCAGAGCAUCAUGGGAAUUUUCCGCGAGAAUCGAAGCUAACCGUCUUAAGGCGAGACACGGCAGGCAAAAAUAGGAGUUUUUCGUAUACUGGUCAAUUUUGAUUUUCUUAGCUAUUUUGCUUCCUCAACAUGUCUAUUUUCAAACUAGUAGAAAGAAAACGUUCAAAAUAUAUUUUAAAGUGUUUAUUCUACUGCACUUUGUCUUGUUGUGCCUGUGGAUUUCACCAAAAUUCAGCAAAAGUUAGCAUUCUAACGUAACAUAUAGUACCGCGACCGUUUGCUUCACCAUGACAGUCGUGGUAUCGUUGUAAAGCUCUCUUUCUCCUGCACAAUGUUAUCCGAUCCAAACAUGGUCAUUUCCUUUGUAUCAGCAACCAAUCGUGAAAGUACAAACGGGGGGUUAGACCAAAUCAAGAAAUCCCAUUGGCUGGAGUCGAUUUAUGAUAACUUGAUUCGUUCAAAUGCAUCACGUGAUGUGCGCUGACGCUUCCUGGUUUAGCUGUCAGUGGGACCUUUUAAAUCUCAAAAUGCCGAAAGAAGCGCGAACAAAAACUACCAAGAAAAGAAGACAACAAUUGUCACUUGCCAGACAAAAGGCUAAACAGUCUAAUGAAGAAGACUAUCAAGUUCCUUCACAAAGCGCAUCCAUGCGAAAAUUAUCGAUAGGAAAAGAGUUAGAUAGCGGUGAACAACGCGCCUCACAGCAGUGGCUGAUAGUUCAUGUGGCGCGUUUGAAUGAACUGGUCAAUGGAUUAAUUUGUCCUAAUUGUGCAGGGACAGGGCUUAAAAUUAAUAUUGAUCCGCAAAAUCAAGGCUUUUGUAGCAGUUUACUUCUGGAGUGCAGUCUGUGCGAAAGAGAUGGGUACCGCAAAAGUAUUUACACAUCAACGCGUCUUCAAGACGGAACGAGAAACGACGUUGCCUUUGACGUGAAUGUGCGAAUGGUGCUCUUAGCGCACGAGUUAGGGUUGGGGUAUGCUGCGCUCAAGAAAAUAAGCAAAGUGUUAGGGAUACCUGCUCUUCAUUUGAAAACUUAUCAGAAACACGACAAGAGAGUGACAGGUAGGCUAUGGAAACAGGGCUGAGACUUAAAGUGGUAGGGGAAAAGGAAUGCAUCUCUCUCACUGGUGGAAAACAAUGUGGCACUUUGGACAAAGUCAAUUACUAAUGAAAGGAGGCAUUGUUGUAUCCCCCACCAACCACACAGCUCCACUGUAGCCUUCAUCAAUUUGUUUUACGGAUGAAUAAAGUAUAUAAUUCAUGUGUUAUUUAGUAAGUUUUACAGUAAACCCCACAGCCUUUUCCUUUUAAUAUCAGAGUGGACAAUAUUUAGAUAAUGUAGCUCACCAAUACACAUAAUUUGUUUUACUUUAGUGGCAAAAACAUAACUUUAACAAUAACACUUGUCCAAAUGAACAGUAAGUAAUACACUAAACAUUUGAUUUUAGUGGCAGAAAUUGAGAGAGGGCUGGAGUCACUGCACAGGACCAGGGAGCAGAUCAGACAGGCUUAUGCAGAUGUUGACCCAGAAGUGGCAGAGUUGCUGAGGGAGGAUGAAGAUGCAGUCAUUAACAUCAGCGUGUCUUUUGAUGGAACCUGGCAAAAAAGAGGCUUCACCUCUCAUUAUGGCAUUGGUGUUUGCAUUGACCUCCUUUCGGGGCUAGUAAUAGAUUAUGAGGUCCUAUCCUCAUACUGCCAUGCUUGUGCUCUAAAAGAAAAUGCCAAGCAAGAAAAAAAAAUUACAGAGCAGGAGUUUGACAGUUGGGAGAACACUCACAAUGACUGUGCCAAGAACUUCACAGGGUCAAGUAAGGCAAUGGAGCAGGAGUCCGCUAAGAGGAUGUGGGCGAGGUCGGUGAAUCGCCACCAGGUGCGGUACACAGAGAUGCUGUCAGAUGGGGAUAGUGCAGCAUUUAGGGAGGUGGUUGCACUGAACCCAUACCCUGGGCAUGACAUUGUUAAAUUAGAAUGUAUCAAUCAUGCUCACAAGCGAAUGGGGACAGCUCUAAGAAAGCUGAGUGCACAGGGAAAGUUAGGAGGAAAGGGUUUGGGAAAGCUAACUGCAAAAAAAUGCAAAAGUUUGCAAAAUUAUUACAGGGGGGCAAUUAUAAAUAACCAGGGUUCAGUAGACGGGAUGAAGGCAGCAAUAUGGGCAAGUCUCCUCCACUGUAUGUCCACAGAUGAUAACCCCUUGCACACCAGGUGCAAUCCCUCCUGGUGUUGGUACAGGAAGGCAGAGGAGAACGGGGAAUCACCUGGUAGCCACAAGCAGCAUGCUGGGAACUAUUUAACCCGUGAGGUGGGAAAGCAGCUUAUACCAGUCUACCACCGGAUGUCAAGUGACAGCCUGCUGCAGCGAAUGCAGCAUGGAGGCACUCAAAAUGCAAACGAGUGCCUCAACUCUGUUAUAUGGGCACGGUGUCCAAAAACGUUUUUUGUGGGUAAAAGCAGGGUUGAGGCAGCAGCCAGUAUGGCCAUCUCCACUUUUAAUGAAGGUGCCUCUGCCAUGCUAAAUGUAAUGGAGAGGUUGUGGCUUCAGAGCACAGUUGUGACAGUUAACGCCAUGAGGGAAACUGAUCGGUUCAGAAUAUCCAAAGCUGAGGCUUACACCACCAGCAUGAAGCACAGGCGCAAGUGUCUGAGCACUGCAAAAAAAGUGAAAAGGCAUCAGCAAGAAAGGGAUGAGGGUCCAACAUAUGAAGCUGGCAUGGAAAGCUAGGCUGCAGACAUAAAUGCUAACAAAUAAAUAUAAAUGCGACAACCACCAAACCAGUGUGGCAGUUCUGGUCGCAGUGUGUGUCUGUGCGGGUGCGUGUGUUUGACUAUAGUUCUGUUCAGUUAAAGGCCAAUGCUGGUUCAAUUUUUAGUUUUAAUGUGUUUGGGAUGUUGUCUGUUGUGGUUGCUAAGUUUUUGAUGAGAUAUUUUGUCUGUAAAUAGUGCUUUGAAAUACAUUUGUAUAAAAAUUUACAACACAUAUCUUUUAAAGGCCGUUUUCUCAAAAUGAGUUUUUUCUCAUGCUCUGAGCGUGAAAUCUCCACUUCUGUAGUACUUACAUAGAUCAAACUUUCUAUUUAAAUUCCUAUUUACUUUGUCUAGGAGUUUACAGAAGGGUUUGUUUAUAAAUAUUUCAUAGCCUGAUUUAUCGGCCAUUUUAUUUGAAAAAAGUGGCGAAAAUCGAGUUUUUAUGAGUGUUGAGAGUAUUUUCUGAUUUCUGAAGUGAUAAAAAGAGAUAUCAAAAAUGUCCUCUGUAAAAAACUUUGUAUUAAAAGUAUCAACAAAAGGACACUAAAAGUGUUUACCUAGCUUUAACCAAUGUUCAGAUUUCAGUUCUGGAAAUGUGCGCAUAUUUAAGUAUAUUGCGCCUCAUUUGCAUAUAAUUUGCAUAUCUACAUUAAAUAUUCAGAAAACUUGUAAUGCAAAAAAACAUUGUCUUAAUAUAAGUAAUCAACUUGGGAAGUUUAAUGGGGAUAUCUAUUAGUAAAAAAAAAUACCCUAUUAACCUGUGGUGUCUGGCCUUAAUACAUCCAUGAAGCUAACAAUAACAACGGAUCCAGGCAUCGAGUUAAAACUUUUCAAAGUAUGUGGCGCCAUAUCGCCGGUGUAAAAAAGCCCGCCGCGGAAUCAGCAGUAGCUGUGGAGUGCAAAGAAAAAACGAGAAAGAAAAGGUAUUUUUCGAAUAAGUGGCGUAUUGAUGACAAUGGGAAAACUAGGGAAUGGUUAGCCUACCUUCCCGGCGAGCAGUCUAUGCAUUGUACUUACUGUCGAACCUACACGUCGCCAGAAAAUGCUAACAAUUCGUUCGUCAGAGGAACAACUAACCUUAAAUUAGAGGCAAUAAGAGACCACGAGUCAUCCAAGUCUCACAUCAAAUGCACUGCCAUACAGUUGGCGAAGACAGAACCCCAGGAGCAGAGUGUGGCAAUAAAGGCUAUCUGCUCCAUGCAAUCGGCGCAAUUGGACCGGAUGAGAAUUCUGUUCAGAAACGUACAUGCAAUCGGCAAGAAGGGAAGACCUUUUCGGGACUAUGUUUGGAUGUGCAAAUCCAGUCACCAGAUUCGGAGGGGGUGAAUCCUGUGCAGGAAAGCAAGGCACGUAACUUCUACCAAAUGGCAAAGGAUCCAGGUGUAGUGAUGUUCAGCUGCUUUUUGCACGACAGCCUGACCCACCUCAGCAACCUGUCUGCAUCCAUGCAACGGCCAUCUAUAACAGUGGCAGAGGUUCAGAGCAGCCUGAUAGCCACACAGGCUGUCUUAACUAAACACAAGAACAGACCCGGACCCAGGCUUAGGUCAUUCUUAGAAGAUCCAGCCACAUUUGAGGGUGUUACCUUGGCAGUACCCAGAGAGGACCUCUCCCUGGCUGGUGUGAACUCCAAAAAAGACAAGCUGAUAGACACAUUUUGCAGCAGUAUGGCGACACGAUUUUGUGACUUCAGCUCUGGAGUACUACAUGCUUCCAAACUGGUGGAUAUCACAAGCUGGCCGAAAGCAGACACACGUGAAGAUUUUGGAGAUGCAGAUGUGGAUUGUCUUAUGUCUUUGGUCCACAAUUGGCUUCCUCUGGGGCCGAUUUGGAUCUGAUUCCAGACCAGUGGACGUUCCUCAAGAGCAGUUUGUACCAGCAGCAUGAGAACAUGGAGCAGAUGACCUGGCCAGAGAUAAACCAGAGACUGGGAGGCCAGUGCCCUGAUUUCCUUCAGCUUGUUGACAUAGUACUCUGUAUUCCAUCAUCCACAGCAGACUGUGAGCGGGGUUUCAAUUUGAUGAAACAAGUGAAGAGUGACUGGAGGUCAGGUCUAAGGUCGGACACACUGUCUGACCUGCUCACAGUGCAGCUAACCAGCCCUAACAUUGAAGACUUUGAUCCAGGCUCAGCCAUCCAGCUGUGGCAUCAGGCCAGCGUCAGGAGGCCAGACUUCAUGGAAAGAGGAGCCAAGAAGAGGAAGACCCAACUUGAAGAUGACAGUGAAACGUCUGACGAGGAGGAUGACUCUGAACAAGACUAAAGUGACACUUUAUUAUUUUACUGAGAGAUGAGUUAUGAAUUAAUUGAUAUCUGAACACGAUCUGUUUGCACUUAAAAUAAAUAAAUGUAAAUUCAAAGAAAUGUAACAUGUCAAAAGAUGGAAACUAUUUCACACUACAGAUGUUUUUUAAUGUUUUUUUUGUUUUGUACAUUAAACAUGUAGACCUUUAACUGUCUGAUCAAAUGUUUUAUCUAGUUUACUUCUAUUUUGAUUAGAGACAGUCUUUUGUUUUAGAUAGUAGGUCACACAAGAGGCAGUCUGUUUUGUUCACCAUUAAGGCAAGGUACGUUUACUUAUAUAGUACAUUUCCAUUUGCCAAUCUCCAAUUUUAAUAAUGAAAAAGAAUGUAGGCCUAUUAGAGCAAUUCAAAAUAUGCUAGUGCAUUUUCUUUUAUAAAUUUGAUUUCUGGAAAAAGGUGGCAGGUAAAAAAUAAAAGUGGCUGGUAAAAUUUGGCAUCCACCUGCCACUGUGGCAGGUGGGCAAAAAAGUUAAUUUCCCACCCUGAU